AACGAACGCUGGCGGCAUGCCUAACACAUGCAAGUCGAACGAGACCUUCGGGUCUAGUGGCGCACGGGUGCGUAACGCGUGGGAACCUGCCCUUAGGUUCGGCAUAACUCCCCGAAAGGGGUGCUAAUACCGGAUAAUGUCUUCGGACCAAAGAUUUAUCGCCGUUGGAUGGGCCCGCGUUGGAUUAGCUAGUUGGUAGGGUAAAAGCCUACCAAGGCGACGAUCCAUAGCUGGUCUGAGAGGAUGAUCAGCCACACUGGGACUGAGAACCGGCCCAGAAUCCUACGGGAGGCAGCAGUGGGGAAUAUUGGACAAUGGGCGAAAGGCUGAUGCAGCAAUGCCGCGUGAGUGAUGAAGGCCUGAGGGAUGUAAAGCGCUUUUACCCGGGAUGAUAAUGACAGUACCGGGAGAAUAAGCUCCGGCUAACUCCGUG
rnacentral:rRNA from 1 species